AUUGAACGCUGGCGGCAGGCCCAACACAUGCAAGUCGAGCGCGCGGCGGACGGGUGAGUAAUGCCUGGGAAUUGCCCAGCCGAGGGGGAUAACAGUUGGAAACGACUGCUAACACCGCAUACGACUGGAAUGCCCAGGUGGGAGUAGCUAGUUGGUGAGGUAAUGGCUCACCAAGGCGACGAUCCCUAGCUGGUCUGAGAGGAGGAUCAGCCCCAAUGGAACUGGUACACGGUCCAGACUCCUACGGGAGGCAGCAGUGGGGAAUAUGGCACAAUGGGGGAAACCCUGAUGCAGCCAUGCCGCGUGUGUGAAGAAGGCCUGCGGGUUGUAAAGCACGUUCAGCGAGGAGGCGUUACUCGCAGAAGAAGCACCGGCUAACUCCGUGCCAGCCGCCGCGGUAAUAC
rnacentral:rRNA from 1 species